rnacentral:rRNA from 1 species
UACAGAGGUCUCAAGCGUUGUUCGGAUUCAUUGGGCGUAAAGGGUGUGUAGGUGGCGCCGUAAGUCGGGUGUGAAAUUUCGGAGCUUAACUCCGAAACUGCAUUCGAUACUGCGGUGCUUGAGGACUGGAGAGGAGACUGGAAUUCAUGGUGUAGCAGUGAAAUGCGCAGAUAUCAGGAGGAACACCGGUGGCGAAGGCGGGUCUCUGGGCCGAUACUGACGCUGAGGAGCGAAAGCGUGGGGAGCAAACAGG